rnacentral:rRNA from 1 species
UUUAUUAAGGGUUUGAUCCUGGCUCAGAAUGAACGUUGGCGGCGUGGAUUAGGCAUGCAAGUCGAA